AAAUAAGACAACUUUGGGCUUGCUCUAAGGUUUAUUUUUCCCUUUAUGGAGCUAGGCUAAUGACCCCUGUAGACUUCAUGUAUUUAUGCCAAGCUAACACAACAUCCUACCUAUAAGAACCAAACCAGUGUACAUACAGAGGUGAAAAUGGUAUUGAACAUCUUGUCUCAGUCUGGGCACGUCAGAAAAAUGGCAC